AUAGAGUGCAGCUUGCUGAAUAAUCUCUAGCACUUGUUUUGACAGUAAGCAGCGUGGCGGAUCAGUACAGAAAAGACGAAGCCACAGAUGGGCAGUGAGUCCUUUAGGCACAGAGACAAACACAUUGUACACCCACUGGCUGCACACAGGUGCAAAUACCUAUUGUAAUGAAUUUGUGGACCUUAUGUGAAGCAAUGAAGUUUCAGCCCUUGAAUUUCUGGGAGCUGGCCAGCACUAGAAAUGCCAAGAUACCUUGAGAGAGGCUGCUAUUGAGAAGUUUCCAGCUGGAAUCAGAAGUGUUGGGAACCUUGAAAGACAGGCAAUUCUUGCAUUGAAUCCGCUCCAAUCCGCAAACUUCAGAGGUCUGAAUCUCAUUUAUUGCAAUGUAGCUUAGAAGUACUGCUACUGAAUUCAGUAGAGUGACACAGAUCAAAUCUGUGUAAACGAGAUCUAAAUCCAGCCUUCGAAGGGUUACAUAAAUUUUU
rnacentral:lncRNA from 1 species